CACGAUCGUGGACGAGGGGGGAUUGUAGAGGGGUGAGGACGGCGGCGCUAGGGUUGAUCGCCGGAGGAGAACGGACGCUGGAGGGGAGACCGAACACCGAGAUCCGGCCGGCCGCGAAGGAAGGCCACUCUCCUUCGAAAGAGAUUCCCACGGGUGAAGAGAUCUCGGCCGUGCGCGUUGAUCCGAGUUGCUCACGGAUUCUUCCACCAUCUCUCGCCGGAAAGGUCGCCGGAGCUCCGUCGGGCUGAGGUAAGCAUAGCUCGCCCUUUUGUACUUCCUUUGCUAGGGUUAGGGAUGUGUUGGAUUGGAGAUUUGGCCGGUGAAGCCGUCGAAGAGGGAUCCGAAACAGGGUACCCCUGUUUCGGCCCCUUUCUUUUGGAUUUCGCCACCGCCGGCCGCCGGGAUUGGCCGAGGUCCAUGGCGGUGGGGUGGUCGAGAUAGAGGAGAUUUGGAGUAGGGUUCUAGGGCUUUGAUUGGAGAUGGGGGAUGGCGGAUCCGAGGCCUUCCUCCUCGUGAUCCCGUCCCUUCCUCCUCUCCCUCCGCGUGGGUUGGCCACCGGCGGCGACGACAGCGGUCGGGGGGAAGGCAGCUUGGGUUGUCGUCGGGUGUGGGGGGAGAGAGGCUGAGCCACCACCUCGGUGGUUCAUCUGUUGAUGAUGGAGGGGAGGGAAGAAAGAAAGAAAGAAAGAAAGAAAGAAAAAGAAGAAGAAGAAGA
rnacentral:lncRNA from 1 species